rnacentral:rRNA from 1 species
UACAGAGGUCUCAAGCGUUGUUCGGAUUCAUUGGGCGUAAAGGGUGCGUAGGCGGCGCGGUAAGUCGGGUGUGAAAUCUCCGGGCUUAACUCGGAACGGUCAAGUGAUACUGUCGUGCUAGAGUACAGAAGGGGCAACUGGAAUUCUCGGUGUAGCGGUGAAAUGCGUAGAUAUCGAGAGGAACACCUGCGGCGAAGGCGGGUUGCUGGGCUGAUACUGACGCUGAGGAGCGAAAGCGUGGGGAGCGAACAGG